UACGGGGGGGGCAAGCGUUGUUCGGAAUUACUGGGCGUAAAGGGCUCGUAGGCGGCCAACUAAGUCGGAUGUGAAAUCCCCGGGCUUAACCUGGGAACUGCAUCCGAUACUGGAUGGCUUGAAUCCGGGAGAGGGAUGCAGAAUUCCAGGUGUAGCGGUGAAAUGCGUAGAUAUCUGGAGGAACACCGGUGGCGAAGGCGGGUCUCUGGGCCGUAACUGACGCUGAGGAGCGAAAGCAUGGGGAGCGAACAGG
rnacentral:rRNA from 1 species